rnacentral:lncRNA from 1 species
GGCGGCCAGAAUGGAAAGCUCAGGACGCAGCUGCUCAGCAUCUGAACCCACUUCCAAGUUUGGAGACCCCACUGCAUAGAGAGCAGCCUGCCUCCCACUGUGGAGACUAAAAAAGAUGAGAGAACGCCUGCUUUCCUAACCGCUCUUGCAGCCAGGGCGUGGGUAUGUGACUGAGGCUUCAGCAAUCAUUGCCUGUGUCAGGGAUGGCAAAACAUCCAUUCUGCUGAAGGUGGCAGCUGCAACCAGUUCCUAGAAGCAGCAGUGACAGUGGAGUCUGUGAUGUCUUCCCUGGACCAGGUCUGUGGCCUGAUUUUGAUUUUUUUUUUUUUUGAGACAGUCUCACUGUGUCACCCAGGCUGGAGCGCAACGGUGCAAUCUCGGCUCACUGCAACCUCCGCCUCCUGGGCUCAAGUGAUCCUCCCACCUCAGCCUCCCGAGUAGCUGAGGCUACAGGCAUGUGCCACCACGUCCGACUAAUUUUGGUAUUUUUUGCAGGGUUUCACUAUGUUGGCCAGGCUGGUCUUGAACUCCUAAACUCAAGUGAUCCUCCCGCCUUGGUCUCCCAAAGUGCUGGGAUUAUAGGCGUGAGUCACCACGCCCAGCAUUGAUUUUGAUUCUUAUGGCUUGGCCCCUAGAAGUCCAUGAUUCCAUGAUUCCUGAUGGCAUAGCUCCGGACCCUAGCUCUCUAGCUCUGUCAGAGAUUGUGUAAAUAUUAAAUCUGCUUAAAUUAGCCAGAAACUGCAUGAACUUUAGUUGCGUGCACCCAGUAACCCCAAUUGAAACAGGGUUGCUCUCAUGGCCAUAACCUCAGCUGCCGCCCCUCUUCUGAUGUGGGCCAGGGACUUCCUCCCCAGAGUCACAG